UACAGAGACUGCAAGCGUUAUUCGGAUUCACUGGGCGUAAAGGGCGCGUAGGCGGCGCGGGGAGUCAACGGUGAAAGCUCGGCGCUCAACGCCGAGUCGGCCGUCGAUACUCCCGUGCUUGAGCACUGUAGGGGCAGGUGGAAUUCCGGGUGUAGCGGUGGAAUGCGUAGAGAUCCGGAAGAACACCGGUGGCGAAGGCGGCCUGCUGGGCAGUAGCUGACGCUGAGGCGCGACAGCGUGGGGAGCAAACAGG
rnacentral:rRNA from 1 species